rnacentral:lncRNA from 1 species
UGUGGAUUCGAUCCGACUCAUUACUUUCUAUAUAUUUUUAAUAUUUUUAGAAGUUAGAUUUAAAGUGAUAAUCAUGGUGUCCUAACGACAAUAUCGUGAGAUAUUAGACAACCUUUCCAACAUAAGGGAUAAACAUUAUACCAGGAUAACCUUAUAACAUACAGAUGUCAGAUUAUUAAUCAUAUUAAUUGAGAACUGAUUAGAAAUAAGAUCUCAUUUUAUUCUCAUGCAUA